AAAGCUUUUGUUCAGUUGUUUCCAACCGCGCAGCGGAGCCAUUUGUACUCACUAGAACACGCGUAUGUUCGCGUAAAGCCUCGUAUUGCGGGAAGUGGAUGCUGAAAUAGUUUUACCUGCCGGACUCGCGGUGUUCGAUUGCGAUCUGUUUAAUAACUUAUUUACAAACUCAACAUGGAGGACGAGAGCAAAUAUCUCCCGCAGCUGCUGGCGGAGCGAGACAGUCUGGACUCGUCGUUCACACACGCCAUGAAACUUAUUUCAGCAGAAAUCGAGAAGGUUCAGAAAGGCGAAACGGGGGAGAAAGAAACCGAAAGCUACCUUGACCUCUUCACAACAACAAACAUCAAACUGAAGGAAAGGGUUCUUAUACCAGUCAAACAGUACCCGAAGUUUAACUUUGUUGGAAAGAUCCUUGGACCGCAGGGGAACACUAUCAAGAGACUGCAGGAGGAGACGGGUGCCAAGAUUUCGGUACUUGGGAAGGGAUCCAUGAGGGACAAAACCAAGGAGGAAGGCUUGAGAAAAGGUGGAGAGCCAAAGUAUUCACAUUUGUCCAUGGAGCUUCAUGUGUUUAUUGAGGUUUUUGCUCCUGUUCCUGAGGCAUACCUGCGUAUGGCACACGCUAUGGAAGAGAUCAAAAAGUUCUUGUUUCCGGACAUGAUGGAUGAUAUUUGCCAGGAGCAGUUCAUGGAGAUGAAGUAUCUAAACGGGGGUCAGGAACAUGCGGGCAGAGGCAGAGGAGGUCCACCCGUCAGAGGCCGUGGAGCCCACCCGGCUUCAGGGGCACCCAGGGGCCGUGGUAUGCCCCCGCGUGGAGGUGCUCGUGGUGGCCCACCUCGAGGCGGAGCUGUUAGAGGAGCUCCCGCAGGGAGAGGCGGACCACCAGCCCAGACGGCCAGAGGAGCGGCUGCUACCCGUGCCCGUCCAACUGCCUCUGCUCCACCGAGGAUGCCCCCUCCACCAACUUCUCACCCUCCAGCCCAAGAAGCAUAUGAAGAAUAUUCGUAUGAUGAGAGCUACACAGAGGCAGCCUAUGAACCCUACAACAGCUACUACAGUCAGCCGCAGGCAGAACCAGAAUACUAUGACUAUGGACAUGGAGAGACACAGGAGGGUUACGAAAACUACGCUCAAGAUGACUGGAAUGGAACACAGCAUGCUGCUGGUGGUGGGAAAGCUCCCACUCAGAGACCGACUAAGCCUGGAUACAGGGAACAACACCCCUAUGGGCGAUACUAAGUCUGACUAGCAGAACGCCACCCAACACGUCGCCAUGUCAACUGUCACCCUUGGCAGCACACGCUUUAAGCUACCCGACAAAAGACCCUAGAGGUAAGACCUGUGCUCUUUAAAAUAACCUGGAUAGCUUCCUAAUGUCUAUAGAGAGAGCUAAAGCAUUCGAUGCUUGGGUAUGUAUUAAACUUUUCUUGAAUGACAUUUUAUUUUUGGUCUUACUCAGAAUGGGAAAUGUAUUGACCAGCCUGAAAUAACUUGAAUUUAAAAGUUAAGCUUGCAGGGGCCUUAUCUGUCAAGUCUGAUGCAAAGACAUGUUGGCUGCUUUUAGUAAAGAGGACAGGAGAGGACUGUUAAACUUAAGUGCAGCAUUGUAAAGGUAAUGGCGCCUGGCAAUUCCCGGAAAUGGAAUCAGUUUUGACAAGAAUGUGAGACCUCUGCUCAGGAAAAGACAAGUGUUUGUUCAAAGCAUAUCUUUGAACAUCAGCAGUCUUUAUGGAACCAUGGACAACGGCAGUUCUCAUAAACCCAGAGGUCUGAAGGCAAUCGUCUGAGAAGGACGGAGUGGAUAUGUGUGCAAAAGGAAAUCGAUGUUCCAGUUGGCACCAGCCUGAUAUGCGCAAGGUGCCCCACUUGCGUAUAUCAGCCUGCUGAUGGGCAGUCUCUUGUUGGAUAGAAUAAGUCUUUGUGCUAAUGUAUUCUGUAUGUAUCACCAGUCAUAUUGGAUGAGGUUAAAGGUCAUUUCUCUGUUCCAGAAUGUUUCUGGCACUCUUUAGUGUUCACCUUAUCAAGGUCUUUGAGCAUACGUAACAUGACAUUUUCAUCUUUUAAAUUGACCUCUUCUGCUUUUGUUGGCCAAGAAAUUUUAACGAGCUCUGAAAAUUCUGUCCAUACUCUCCAGAUGUCCACCUCUGAUAAUACUCAAGUGCUUAUUCUGAAAGACAAGCAUGACAUCCCGUCACACUCCGUUCCUCGCUCUGAGGAAUGUACAUGCUGAUUUGCCCCUAUCUUUUUGCUUUUAACGAGUCAGGCGAAAAUUAUCAUGGCAAUUAGAGGAGAUAUUGGUUUGAAUUGGCUUAUGCUACUGCAGCUGUCUUGGAGUUUGUAUGAUUCACAAUUGAAUCUCCACUUGUCUGUUUGCAGAACUAUUUUUGUUGGUCAACCAAAAAUUUGAUUCUAAAUUGUAAUUUCUCUUCAUCUUGUUUAUAAAAUACUUUUGCUUAUGAUAUUGUUUAAUUAGCACUUCUGCCUUAUGGAUAAAGGUCUUUCUUCCCCCUAAAUGAAUUUCCCAGGAACUGCUUUGUUUUUAAUCUUUGCUAUGCAGUUUGACUUUGGCACCAAAUACAUUUGUGCAUAUGCACGUGUCGCCGUCAGUGUAUCUGAGCUUUUUUCGUUUCUAGAUCUUUUGCUCAUUUUCCCCCCAGCACAAGUUGGAUUUAGGCUUGUCAUUCUGACCAAUUACUGCAGAUGACAGCUUGUUCGUACCCCCACGGAGCCACCACUGGUUGCUGACUGGCUAACAGGACUCUGCCUUAUUGCAUUAGACACACAUCAGUCCUCGGCACAGAUUUUAAUAGCAUCAUGCACCGCUCAAGUGACAUCAAACAAUUGGGUAGAAGGUUUACCGAUGUGUAUACGGGCCUCAACAUAAAGAGAAAUCGCAAAAGCAGAUAAUGGAAAUAAUUAAUUUAUUUCCCAGACAGAUGCUGGGAGGCAAAAAGAUUAGAGAACAAUCUGGAAGAACAUUUUGAAGCCAACCCUGCAGUUAAUGGGUCUCUGUUUACAUGGUUAUAGGUAUGUGUGUGUUGGACAUUCAUGACCUACAGCUGCAGGGGAAAUGCCUCUAUAGUAGCAUAAAAGGCAUGUGUGACAGUCUGAAACAGUUGUGGUUUGGCAGCUCCUAACUGCCAAAACUCAUUCUGUAUGCCGAAGACAGGAAGCAUGGUUACGUAAAUACAAAUUAAUUGCUUGCACGCCUGCCUGGUCUGUCUGUUUCUUGCAUGGCUAUUUUGUUUCGCACCUAACCGGUGUAUUCACUCUAGGGAGUCGGAGAAUUGAGUGCAUGGGGAGUGGCUCUAACGGUUCUAUGGCGGUUUCUGGCUCAAGUCCUGGAGAACCAUGGCUGCCGGCCACCUUUUUCAGUUUGAAAAUGCUGGUAAUAACCAAACCUCCUAAAGGGCUCUCCCUCAAUGUGGUGUGAUGGGACUGAAUUGAAUCUGUUCAUGUGGAAUCUGGCUUGAGUAAUCUGAAGCCUUCCAGGACAAGAUUUGGACACCUCCACCUUGGCUGUUGCUGUAGUAACAUUUCCUUUUGCAUGUUUUCCAAAAUCCACAUAACCAAAUGUACCCAACACAAUGUGGGGAAAUCAUGGCAAUUGCUUGGUAUUAGCAAUGGAAUACAAGUGCCAAGAUUCUAUUCUUUUUUUGUUUUCUUAAAGAGAUUGAUGGGCUUGGAGUUGCCAUGUAGUUAAACGAGUGCAUGAAGUGUCUGUCAUUCAACACAGCAGUUGGCCUUUAUUUCAAUAGUAGCAAACCAAGUCUUUGGGGGAAAAAAACAGAUUGGUGACAUUGGGGAGUGGACAGAAUUACAGUUAAUUUGAAAGUCAUUCAAACUAGUUUGUCAUCUCUGGAUGUAAGUGCAUCUAAAAGCACAUUUGACCAAGUUCACACCCAGCCUGCAAAUGAAGAUCUGCCUCAGGGGGAAAUGCCUGAUGACAAUGUUUUUACAAGUAAAUUGUUUGACCUCACACACAUUGUCAAAAAUAAAGAAAUUAAAUGUAAACAGUGACUUCUAUGUGUCUUUCUCGUUUUGAAAGACUUGUCUUAUUGUCACAUUUUAGUCACUCACAUUGGGAAUAAUGCAAGUGCAUUGUUUUUAAAGAAAUAUCCUGUAUAAAUACUUGCAAAUUCUGGACAUGCACUAGUGUAUUAGCCAAAUAUAGGUAUUUAUUGAAAAGCAAUUUAUCUGCACUGUCGGACAUUGACCUACUCUUUAAAAAAAAUAAAAAAUAAAAAUAAACUCGUGCAGUGUGUUAAACAAUUGAGUUUGUAGUUGCAGUAUGUAAGUUGCACUUCUAAUUCACGAGGUGAAGCUACUAAACUAACUUGAUUACCUUAAAGCUAGACACAAGGAAUACAUUUGUUGAAGUUAAAGUGGAGGCUGCUUCAACUAAAGGGACAGGCGUUGUCAUUCAGAAAUCAGUUGAAGUGAGAACAUUUUUAGAAGUCUUACCAAUUUAAUGUGAGCCUACAAGAAGCUACUACGAGUCAAUGUAAGGUAAAAUGUUAAUGUAAUUCUUUCAUUUAUAACCAGUGUAAGGCCAGUUACUCGAACAUGGAAGACAUGUAGAGACCGAGAAUAAAGUUAAUUUGUAUUUUUUUUUUUUAUCCGAGGUUGUGUAAUUAUCAGUGAUUUGGAACAAUGCAGAAUAAAAAAAUCAGAACCGCAAACUAUCGUUAUUGGUAGAUGUUGCUCUAAAAUAAUCGGAUAUCUACAUUGCCAUUUUUAAUCUGUGGAUCUCAAAUACUAAUACAAGUUUAGCUCUUUUGACCGCAUGUGUCACAUGCUGUCAAUUACCACAGCAAAUACUUUGAAUCAUUCUGCAGUAUGUAAAAACUAACAAAUGCGUUGACUGAAAUGCACUUACAAUGUAGGUCUAUCGGGCAACCAUACAACGGUUGCCCCAUUGACUUCCAUUUUAAGUGCAGGCAACAUUCGCACAAAGUCAAAUCCCUCAAGUACUGAUUCUGCUGUUAGAAUGUUCAGAAACCAUUAUGGUAAAUAAGACAUUGGCAUCAUGCAGCCCUCAUGAAUAAUUAACGAAUCCCAUUUAGACUUGAAUACUUUGUGCACAGUGAAGAAGCAUUUUCGUGGUUUGUGCACUUUGAAAACUAUGUUUAGAUCAAAUGUCGAUGUAAGUGGGCCUGUUGAGCGAUUAUGGUGUUUUAAUGGAAUGUGUGAUUAAUGUGGGCAUGCUCAAAUAUCUUGUGAGAAUCAGUGAGACUUGCAGGUCACACAGAUUGAAGGAAACUGGGCUCCAGUCUGCUGUAUUCAACUAGCAUAAAGUUCUACAGGAAGUACCAGGUCUGCUUGGUGAUGAACACACAGUCUUGCAAAAGAACCUUUAUGGUGCUUCGUCUCCAGCAAGUGUAUUUAUAGACGAGUAAUUGAUUCAUCCUUGUGUUUUCAGAAAAUAGUUUGGCGAAGUUAAAGGACUUAAAAGGAGACCGUUCUCACGUUGACCUGCAACCCACGCCGACAGCACAAAUUCACCAAUGCCUGCUCUUAAACUUUCUCUUUGCUGGUCUGCUGCCAAUAUUGAUGCGAGACAAAUGGCGGCACAUCCUCGGGAGUGUUUGGAAAUGAGUUGAAGAUGUAGAAGUUGAAGUAGUUUUUGGUUUUCUAACGCUUCUGUUUUUAACUCAUGCUGCCUCCUCAAGCUAAACUUUAUCACCUUUUAAAGAUUGUUCCUUGUUGGGUAUGUAGUUUAAACUCGGUGGUUCGCCACAGGUCAGCGGUGCAGUCCACGCUAACAUGUCCGCACAUAUGCAAUGCUUUUCUCUUCAUCCCUGUUCACAUGGAAACCCUGGGCCUCAUUAGCUUGCGCACUUCACUUGAGGGCCCCUGUCUGCGCUUCCACGGGAGUGAAUCCCUCUGAAGCAAUUUAGGGCUCGAUAUAAAUCAAUUUUUAUGUUAAAUGGUUGCUUUGAAAUGAGGUGUGGGGGUAGGGGGGGAAGUGUGUGCUUUACUGAGCUGUAGGCUCCCACACAUCCCUUGUGCUGUAGUCACAACGCUAGCCACCUCAGGCUGUCUCUGCCUCUCUCUCUCUUCUCUGCUCGCUCUCUACAGGUCUUCGUAAUUCAGCUUGCCUGCUCCGUUUAUCCUGCCAACCAGCAAUUUUCUUUCUCUAUCUGGUCUCAUGUUUGACCCUCUCUGGUUGCUAUGCGUUUGCAGGCCUUGCCUUCGGCUCAACUCUAAUUUUAGUAAGACUGAAGCAAGUCUAGAAAGCGUAGUGUAAGGGGGUCUUUCUGCAAGACUCUGACUUCCAACCUAAUUACCCAUCAAGUUACCUCAGUAUCUGUCUCCCCGCAGCAAACUCAACCAGCAGACACAGCAGUGACUUAGUCACCUCUCAAUAGAGCUUUUAACUGAGCAUGAGGGGCAGAAUCCAGUGCAAUGGCCAUUUAUUAUUGGUUUGUGAAUUGAAAGUACAUCUUAAGUAAAUUAGAGGUAUGAUGGAUUAUUUUAUUGCCUGCACUUCAGAAAGGCAAAGGUAGACUAAUAAAAAGGGAGGUUGAGAGUAAAUUGAGGACUUUUUCUUUGAAGCAUUUUUAAGAGUGUGUCUUAAUAUCAUUCUAUGUAGGUAGUUGGCUGUCGUACGGGACAUUCACACUGAUGAUUAGCAGUGACUAAAUGAACAAAACAGUGAGAGUUGGUGAUUUGAGGUGACUGCGACCGUUGGUGAUGUGACAGUUCCAUGUCCCAAAUUCUGAAGUCCCAAUGGCGACAUCUAAUGGAAGUGAAGACUGUAUGGUUAACGUGAUCCACCUCAUACAGUUGCCUACUAGCAACCAAUUGUAUAGCGAUUUGGCCUCAAGCGAUGUAUUUGCUAUCAGUGUGAACAAGGGGUGUAACUGUUCUCAGUAAGCAGGUGAAAUCUAGUCAUCCGUGCUAUCAGGAAUGUCGCCUGAUAGACUUUUGGUGGCAAAGAAAUUUCCCUAUGCAAAUUUUGCAUGUGGAUAAAGUUUGGUGAAUAUUGAUGCAAAUUUGCAUCAUUGGGUUUACAGAGACCUCUGUGUGCGCAGUGCUUUGUACAAAGCUACACUCGAAGUGGAAAAAUCUUCGAUGAAAAUUUUUCCAUCUGGGGGGGUUUUUUCUGUCAGCCGGGGUGUGGGGGGGGCCCAUGAGCAUUUCUUCUGGGUGACAGCACUGCCAUCACAGAAGAGCUGCCGGUACACAAGAGUUGCUGGUGGUACUGUCAUUUUUGUUGUUUCAGGUACUGCAUACUGGCUCAGUUCGAGCACUGGCUACACUAAAUAGUGAGAAUGUACAAGGAACUCAUUUAAGUGGUGAAUUUCUUUAUAACUACGGUCUUCCAGAGUAUAAAGUGCAGUAUAAAAAAAAAAAAAGAGGCUGCUUGGCAAGUAGUUUUUGCGGGUUUUAUACUCAAUUUUUGGCUUUGGAAUUUUGCAGUGCAAGGGUGAAUGACUAAGCCUUUAGUCUUGAUAAUAUUGUAACAACUGUAUUAGUGGUUGGCCUCUGUGGAUAUCUACAUCAUAUAAUACAAUAUGUUAAAAUAAAUGCUUGCUUAAUUUAAUUUAUGCAGUAUCUAUGCAAAAUUAAAUAAAAAUAAGUUGGCCUUCCUUGUCUAUUUAAAAUGUUGGUAGAUGGAUUUACCUAACUGUCAAUAGAUUUAGGACACAUUCUAUUAUUUGGUCAAACAAGCAAAUUUAUCAGCCAAUCCCUAUUAUCUUAAAUAGCUAAAUAUGCCUGUUUGGUAUGUCGGUCUAUAAUUUAACUGUACAUCUUAACAACUCCCAAACCACACAUUUCAUUAAGCCAUAUUAAUUUGUCCCCAGGUAGCUUACUGACAUUGUAGAUUAGUCUUAUUUCUUUCUUUCCUGAGGAGUGCCAUGGUACUAUUUCUGUACUGUAAUAGGCUCGUGAAUAAAUUAUUUAUCAGGCACAUUAAUCUGGAUAGGAAGAUACUGGUUAAAUGGUUUGUGGCUAAUGGCUUAGAAUUUUGAACUGUUGAGCUGCCAAUUUUAGUAAUUUGCAUUUACAAGGAGCUGAUCCCAAGAUGUAUUUCUGAGGUGCUUAUUAGUGGUGCUUUCUGGCAAGCAUCGCUGUUACAACUGUGCAUACAGUACUUCCCCUAAGCAAACCCAUAACCUCAACUAUUAAACUUCUGAGAGUAACUCAUUCUGUACAUCCUGACAUGAAUGAUACCUCGAAUCAUGUGGUGUUGCUUAGAGGUGUGCUAUUACUUCUCUAAAUGAUAAAAUGUAAGAUUUUUGCCUGCAAGAUGAUAUGAUAAAAAAUUAAAAUAAAAAAUCCCCUUUUCA